UGACAAAUUUGCUCCCUUGUUAC
rnacentral:piRNA from 2 species